AGCGAACGCUGGCGGCAGGCUUAACACAUGCAAGUCGAGCGGGCACUUCGGUGUCAGCGGCAGACGGGUGAGUAACACGUGGGAACGUACCCUUCGGUUCGGAAUAACGCUGGGAAACUAGCGCUAAUACCGGAUACGCCCUUUUGGGGAAAGGUUUACUGCCGAAGGAUCGGCCCGCGUCUGAUUAGCUAGUUGGUGGGGUAAUGGCCUACCAAGGCGACGAUCAGUAGCUGGUCUGAGAGGAUGAUCAGCCACACUGGGACUGAGACACGGCCCAGACUCCUACGGGAGGCAGCAGUGGGGAAUAUUGGACAAUGGGCGCAAGCCCGAUCCAGCCAUGCCGCGUGAGUGAUGAAGGCCUUAGGGUUGUAAAGCUCUUUUGUCCGGGACGAUAAUGACGGUACCGGAAGAAUAAGCCCCGGCUAACUUCGUG
rnacentral:rRNA from 1 species